UACGGAGGGUGCGAGCGUUGUCCGGAAUCACUGGGCGUAAAGGGCGCGUAGGCGGCCCGCGCAAGCGUGCGGUGAAAGCCCGGGGCCCAACCCCGGGUCGGCCGUGCGGACUGCGGGGCUCGAGCACUGUAGGGGCAGAUGGAAUUCCGGGUGUAGCGGUGGAAUGCGUAGAGAUCCGGAAGAACACCGGUGGCGAAGGCGGUCUGCUGGGCAGUAGCUGACGCUGAGGCGCGACAGCGUGGGGAGCAAACAGG
rnacentral:rRNA from 1 species